AGCGAACGCUUGUGGCAGGCUUAACACAUGCAAGUCGAGCGGGGAACUUCGGUUCCUAGCGGCGAACGGGUGAGUAACACGUAGGUAACGUGCCCCUUGGUGAGGGAUAAUUCAGGGAAACUUGGACUAAUACCACAUAUCGUCCUUUUAGGAUGAAAGUCUUCGGACGCCAUGGGAUCGGCCUGCGGCCCAUUAUUUAAUCCUGGUUGGUGGGGUAAUGGCCUACCAAGGGUGCGAUGGGUAGCUGGUCUGAGAGGAUGAUCAGCCACACUGGGACUGAGACACGGCCCAG
rnacentral:rRNA from 1 species